GCUAGGCAUGGUGGCACACGCCUGUCAUCCCAGCGGCUCAGGAGGCUGAGGCAGGAGGAUCGUGAGUUCAAAGCCAGCCUCAGCAAAGGCGAGGCCCUAGGAAACUCAGUGAGCCCCUGUCUCUA
rnacentral:sRNA from 1 species